rnacentral:rRNA from 1 species
AAAGAGUAACGGAGGAGCACGAAGGUUAGCUAAUCCUGGUCGGACAUCAGGAGGUUAGUGCAAAGGCAUAAGCUAGCUUGACUGCGAGAGUGACGGCUCGAGCAGGUGCGAAAGCAGGUCUUAGUGAUCCGGUGGUUCUGAAUGGAAGGGCCAUCGCUCAACGGAUAAAAGGUACUCCGGGGAUAACAGGCUGAUACCGCCCAAGAGUUCAUAUCGACGGCGGUGUUUGGCACCUCGAUGUCGGCUCAUCACAUCCUGGGGCUGAAGUAGGUCCCAAGGGUAUGGCUGUUCGCCAUUUAAAGUGGUACGCGAGCUGGGUUUAGAACGUCGUGAGACAGUUCGGUCCCUAUCUGCCGUGGGCGCUGGAGAAUUGAGGGGGGCUGCUCCUAGUACGAGAGGACCGGAGUGGACGCAUCACUGGUGUUCGGGUUGUCAUGCCAAUGGCAUUGCCCGGUAGCUAAAUGCGGAAAAGAUAAGUGCUGAAAGCAUCUAAGCACGAAACUUG